GAAUGCGAACUAAAUCAACAACUCUUUGGUGCAUGUUUUCUUAUUUAGUUACGUUGUUUAAUCUGCAAUAUAAAUUUUAGAACAUACGGCUGAUGGUAAGUUUCAAUAUUGACAAUACGUAAUAGAAGAUAAGAAAUUGAAUUACAAUUUGUGAGCUCACAAACGAGGAACUAGACUGCAUUGAUGCUCCACUCUCGCUAAUAAUACUUGAACCCUAAAUAAAAUAAAAUAUUCAAACAAGAAGUUGAAUGGUGCAAGUGGCAGUGUGGGAGUCUGUUGAGAAGGUUUAAAAUAUUUCUUAUUUAGUUUGCUGCUUUCUUGUAAUAUUUAAUCUCAGUUGCUAGAAGUUAUCUCAUUUAUGUUUCUGUAGGUGCAGAUCCAGUCUCAAGUUCAUUAAUCUGCGUGUCUGUGACUCUCGAAAGCAAGAAGCAAAUCAAUAGAACCAGCCCUUCUUUUCCAGAUUGCCCUUGAUCCAUGGAGAUAUAGACGAAUAUCAUGGCGGAAGGAGAUGGAGACCGACUCACUGAUCUGCCGGAGCCAAUUCUUCUCCACAUACUCUCUAUGUUUUGGAACAAUAAAGAAGUUGCUAGAUCCAGCGUGUUAUCAGCGAGAUGGAGGUUUCUUUGGUAGUCUGUUCCAUUAUCACUCGAUCUCCUCUUCCCAGAGUAUCCCUGUGCUAUUAAAAUAAACAAAAAGAAGAUUCUUGCUUUCGUAGCUUCCACCAGUUGAGAGCUUCACUAUAGGAGGUUAGCGAGAAAAUCCAAGCAUUCAGGGUUUUUCCUCUAUAAAUACCGGGAGUAUCUUGCUGAGAUGUGGAUUUUUGGGAAUACGUCGUUGAGGAAUUUGGUUCUAGGCAACUUGACAGCUAAACCCUUCUGGUAGCGUUGACUGGAGUAGUCUGGUUUCUCUUUCAAUUGGGGACCUGCUUUUAACGGAGGGUGUCAUGGAAAAAGUUUUAUCAGGUUGCCUAACUUGGAGUGCUUGGAACUAGAUGAAGUUUGUGGCAUUCGUUGUUUGGAAAUCAGCUCUGUGAAGAUGAGAAAAUUGAUCAUCAUAACAAACUCCGAAGCAAAAGUUGAUGAU